rnacentral:rRNA from 1 species
GAUGAACGCUGGCGGCGUGCCUAAUACAUGCAAGUCGAGCGAACGGACGAGAAGCUUGCUGCUCUGAUGUUAGCGGCGGACGGGUGAGUAACACGUGGAUAACCUACCUAUAAGACUGGGAUAACUUCGAGAAACCGGAGCUAAUACCGGAGAAUAUUUUGAACCGCAGGGGUCAAAAGUGAAAGACGGUGUUGCGGGCAGUUAUAGAUGGAUCCGCGCUGCAUUAGCUAGUUGGUAAGGUAACGGCUUACCAAGGCAACGAUGCAUAGCCGACCUGAUAGAGUGAUCGGCCACCCUGGAGCUGGGCCGCCGUCAAGGCUCCUACGGGAGGCCGCAGUAGGGAAUCUUCCGCAAUAGGCGAGAGCAUUACGGAGCAACGGCGCGUGUGUGAUGGCGGUCUUCGGAUCGUAAAACUCUGUUAUUAGGGAAGAACCUCUGUGUACGUAACUGUGCCCAUCUUGACGGUACCUAAUCAGAAAGCCCCGGCUAACUACGUG